rnacentral:rRNA from 1 species
GAUGAACGCUGGCGGCGUGCCUAAUACAUGCAAGUCGAGCGAACGGACGAGAAGCUUGCUUCUCUGAUGUUAGCGGCGGACGGGUGAGUAACACGUGGAUAACCUACCUAUAAGACUGGGAUAACUUCGGGAAACCGGAGCUAAUACCGGAUGAUAUUUUGAACCGCAUGGUUCAAAAGUGAAAGACGGUCUUGCUGUCACUUAUAGAUGGAUCCGCGCUGCAUUAGCUAGUUGGUAAGGUAACGGCUUACCAAGGCAACGAUGCAUAGCCGACCUGAGAGGGGGAAUCGCCCACCUGGAACUGGAGAACGGGCCAGGACCCUAAGGGGGGCCGGAGGAGGGGAAUCUUCGGAAAUGGGGGAAAGCCUGACGGAGCACCGCGGGGUGAGGAUUGAAGGUCUUCGGUCCGAAAAACUCUGUUAUAGGGAAAGAAAAUUUGGGAAAGUACCGGGCAACACUUGGCGGGUACCUAUUAAAAAGGCCAGGCUAAAUACCGU